ACUCAAAGGAAUUGACGGGGGCCCGCACAAGCGGAGGAACAUGUGGUUUAAUUCGAUGAUACGCGAGGAACCUUACCUGGGCUUAAAUGUAGAGUGCAUUUUCUAGAGAUAGAAAUUCCCUUCGGGGCUUUCUGCAAGGUGCUGCAUGGUUGUCGUCAGCUCGUGCCGUGAGGUGUCGGGUUAAGUCCCAUAACGAGCGCAACCCUUAUCGUUAGUUGCCAGCUGGUAAAGCAGGGGACUCUAGCGAAACUGCCACCGUAAGGUGAGAGGAAGGUGGGGAUGACGUCAAAUCAGCACGGCCCUUAUGUCCAGGGCUACACACGUGUUACAAUGGCCGGUACAGAGGGCUGCUACCUGGUGACAGGAUGCUAAUCUCGAAAACCGGUCUCAGUUCGGAUCGAAGUCUGCAACUCGACUUCGUGAAGCCGGAUUCGCUAGUAAUCGCGCAUCAGCAACGGCGCGGUGAAUACGUUCCCGGGCCUUGUACACACCGCCCGU
rnacentral:rRNA from 1 species